GGAAAUGUCCUAGGCUAAGAAUUAUCGUACACGUGGGUGAAGUCCGACAAGAGUCGCACCUUGGAGUAUCACGCGGUGUGUUGACCCGAGUAAUCUCUUAGAUCAAAGAGAGACUUAGGAGAAGGGGGGGGAGGAGUGACUUGCAUUCCACACAAGGUGGUGUCCACUGCGGCUGUCAGACAUCCUGCCGAUAAGAUCAAAGAGUCUGUGUGUAUCUUUGCCCUGGUCAAGGGAAGAUAAAUCGAAAGACGUGGCCUAGCUAUGUCCAAUGUGGUCAAAUAAGUCUAGCCUGGAGCGGAAAAGGUGGUGCGGGUGAAGAAUUUGGGGUAGGAUGUGGAAAUAAUUAAAAUAAAAUAAAUAAAUAAUGAAAAAUAAUAAUUAAUGCUGUGAUAAAUUUGAGUGACUCUGACAGCGAGUUUUUGACUUGUCACAACGACAACGAGACCAUUGAUACCAUCCACUUCACCCAAAACUAAAUGUGAACCAGGAGAUCUAGACUUGAGGCCAGAACUGUGCACUAACACUAGUGUCUGCCUGACAAAGUCAUCACUAUGCUGUAGCUAUUGCUCGUUACAUUACAAUUCUUCAACUACAAGUACCACACAAUUAACGCCCCCCAACGAUAGGAAAUUUUGUAACAAAAUGUGUGCAAAUACAUUUAACAUUUUUCGAAUGCUUAUUCAGUUUUGAAGAUGAACUACAUCCUGGCCCAAACCACCGCAGGACAAAGGGGGGAAGGCAGCUGGCAGGGUUUGAACUCAUGAACAUUGAGACCACCGAACGACAGUCCAGAACGCAUACCAAACAACUAGGCAACUAUUCAUGUUACAUGUAUUUUAUCUGACGUUUGAGCUUUUGGUAGUGUAAGUGAUUUGCAAUUCGUAUCUAAGUUCUAAGCUUUAAACUAUUCCUUUGUCUAAGAAAUGUGUUUUAUAAAAGAUACAUAGUCAAUAAACGAUCUUCUAUAUACGUAAAAAAAAUUUGAGUCAAGGGAAGUUAAUUAAAAGAUUGUACCUGUACUUUCGUUCAAUAUAAACUCAUAUGUUUCACUGGAAAUAAAAUAGUGUGUAUCUUUAAGUAUCAAAGAAUGUGUAUCAUUAUGCAUUUUUAUGAAAAACCAACUUGGAUAAUUAUUAUUCUAAUAAAGACGGUUCAGUUUCAGAAAUCAUAAAGUAGCCUAAGCAUCAGAUCUUUCCAAGCUGUAAAAUAUGAAAUCAGAUUUUCAAAAGAUUUUCUAUAAGUGUGACAGACUGAUGAAAGAACGGACUGACAGACUUCACAAAGCUAUAGCGGCUUUCCUGCCUUUCGGUGGCCAGUAAUAUUGUCGCGAUAAUAAUAAUAAUCUGUAUAAUCCAUUAGGAAAUGUGUCUUACAUUUUGUGCAUUGCCC